AUCUGCUACCAACAACAGCAUUCGAUCCAUUGAUGGAGCUUUCGAAGACACGAGUGAGCUUUAUCAACUAAGCUUAGAUGUUAACUUAAUUGAUCACCUGCAAGCGAGGUUCGUUAGUUCAUGGAAAAGCCUCUCCUUAUCAUUGUCGUCCAAUAAAUUGCGGCAUACUAACAUUGACACAGAUGCAUUUGCUGGGUUGCAGAGCUCAUUUUCUUAUUUG